AAAAAUCUGCCUUCAGUACAGAUCAGACUAUCGAAAGGGAAAUAGUUUUCCAUUCCAGCUCGUGGCCUCAUAGAACCAGAAAAAAAUCCUCAUACUAGCAUAUAGCGAUAUAUAUUCAUUGUGAUUUUUCCCUAUCUGAUCUCUGAAGAGCCACCCGUCGGUCGUUUUUCCACGCUUUUCAUCGGGAGCAACUCGCGGAAUCGGUUGUAUAUAUCACAUAAGUACCGGAUAUGAGUUUCACUAUACCUUCGAGUACUGGCCAAUGCAGACGUUGAAAGUUCAUUUGCUCCCAACUGUUUCAUAUCUCAUUUAUAUGAUGUGUAAAUGUAGCCAAUCAUUAGAGUACUCAACUUUUUGAUAUUAUCUGCAAUCAGAUGUUGAAGGAGAUGUAAACAGCGUUUAUUCGGUGCAGUUUAGUGAAUAAUAACCACAAGGAACCGACCAAUAAGUGUAUUCAAUAGUUCAGUAUCUGGUUGAAUUAACAGUGGAUAAUCGAAAUGGUUAUAUGAUUGUAUAACGAAAUGCUGCGGUUUUUAAAUGUCGGUGAGAAUAGCUUGUGUUUAGUUGUCACACUACUAUUGAGUUGCAUUAUACUGAGAGGAAAUAAAUCCGUAUCCAUGAAUGCCUAGUUAGGUGGUAACCUGAACAUGAGAACGGGUAUUAAGAACAGCGCCUUUAGAAUGAAAAGGAAUAUGAUAGUUUUUUUGUAACAUAAGACGAGCUGCUGCUGACGAGUAUCAACAUUGAUAUACGGAAACGAUUGUUGGUUACAUUAAUUCGUCUUAUUGAAGCAACAAUGCCCGAUAUAACUUAACAAAUCACCUGAAGCGAAAGUAACUAAAUCAAAAUACUAGAGGUAAUGAUUCGACAUGGUCUCACCAUACACUGACGGAUCGCAACUUUUUCUAAAUGCGACUCUUGAUUCAUGUGCACUUAAGUAUGAGGAAUUCGUCAUACCAAACACAGUUCCUUACUGCAAUUGGACAUGGGACACAAUACUGUGUUGGCCUCCAACUCCUGCUGGGUCGGUGAUAAAACAACGGUGCCCUUCCGCACACGGAAUAGAUACGAGCAAGUUCGCCGAAAGAAGGUGCAGCGCCGAAGGUAGAUGGGAAGGAAAACCCGGACCAACACCCGGCCUGCUUGGGUGGACCAACUAUACGCCCUGUUAUAGCCCAGAAGUAAUUCAACUAUUCAGAAAGCUUUACGCUAGGGGAAGCACCGACGAAGUCGAAGUUAAGAUCGACAUUGCCGAAAAAACACGGACACUAGAAAUUGUAGGCUUCAGUCUAUCGCUAACAGCGCUAAUUUUAUCAUUAGUAAUAUUUUGUAAGUUUAGUACUUAUUUACAUAUUUUUUCCAGAAGUUUACGGAACAACAGAACGCGCAUACACAAAAACCUCUUUGUUGCUAUGGUAAUACAAGUGAUAAUCAGAUUAACACUAUACAUUGAUCAGGCAAUUAUUCGUAAUGGUGGGAAACAAUAUGGCAACGAGACUCGUCAUGGUAUCGAUAAUACGCCAUACCUUUGCGAGGCCUCUUAUGUGUUGUUGGAGUAUGCAAGAACAUGCAUGUUUAUGUGGAUGUUUAUAGAAGGAUUAUAUUUACACAACGUGGUUACCGUAACAGUUUUUCAGGAUCGUUUCCCACUAACAUUGUACGCACUUUUGGGAUGGGGUGGACCGGUGGCACUAACAUCUAUUUGGGCAGUGACCACCGGACAGCACAUUGGACAACAAAAAUGUUGGUGGGGAUAUAACCUGACGCCUUAUUAUUGGAUACUAGAAGGACCUAGAUUAGCAGUAGUUUUGUUAAAUUUGAUAUUUUUAAUGAACAUAAUAAGAGUGUUGGUGGUAAAGUUACGCCAAAGUCACACCAGCGACGUCGAGCAAGUACGAAAAGCAGUACGUGCAGCCAUCGUUCUAGUGCCAUUAUUAGGAAUAACUAAUAUACUAAACAUGACUGAGGCUCCACUGGAAAAAACGGCCCUGGAGUUUGCUCUCUGGUCAUACAUUACGCACUUUCUGACGUCUUUUCAGGGAUUUUUCAUCGCGCUUUUAUAUUGUUUUCUAAAUGGCGAGGUUAGAGGAGCACUCAUGAAAAGUCUUAGCAUUUAUCUAUCUGUUAGAGGACAUCACGAUUGGACUGCUCGAAGACCUUCAAUGUUUACUGCAGCAUACGCAACUGCGCCUGAGGGCGAAGAGCAUACAGUCGAGUCGAGCAGAUCUAUUUCCAGACGAAUAGGCAGCAACAGUUGGCUUGCAUUUUGCUUCCGCAUUCAAAAAGAAUCACAUCAGUCCACUCCAGAAUGUGCACCACCAGAUUUGUGAACUUCAACCUCCACCAAAGAAACCUAAAGGACCAGCAAAGAAUAGGAGAAAGGGGACCUUCAACCUCCACCAAAGAAACCGAAAGGACCAGCAAAGAAUAGGAGCAAGGGGACCAGAGAAAUUCGGAAGCUCAUGAGAGAAAAGUCGCUGACCAGGUGGCGAUAGGAGUGGAGUGCGACACCGAACGGUAGAUGAACGCACAAACUCAUACCGACACUAUAUUGCUGGGACGAAUGUAUGAUGUCAAUUUUUAUUACAACGCUGUCCAUGCUUGUCUAAUCAUAGAUAACUGAAUGUUGGAACCAUCACUACUAGACCAUCGAUACUCAUCAAGCUACAAAAUAUCAAUAAAGGAAGAAUAAGGGAUAGAGCGUAUUUUAACAGAUAUAUUUUUCUAUGAUAUAGAACACAUAGUAUAGUAGAAAAAAGAGCUUCUAGAUAAAUGGAAAGAAGCAAUGAGAAUUUCACACGAAAUAUAACAUCAAAAACAAAUGAUAUUGAAAUAAUCAAUAUGGAAUACAUACAAUUUAUAGUGCUUUAUUGCCGACUCUAAUAUGAAUAAUCUAACAUAAUAUCAGAAUGCAGAUUUCCAGGAGCUAAACUGAGACCAAAAAUGAAAGAAAUAUAAUAGAAUGUGCGAAAAAUCCGCGAACUAGAUUUCAUUGUACUUUAUAGAUGAAACAAUAAAUACGUUUUGCAUAAA